UGCCAGCAGCCGCGGUAAUACGGAGGGUGCAAACGUUGUUCGGAAUCACUGGGCAUAAAGCGCACGUAGGCGGCCGGAUCAGUCCGUUGUGAAAGCCCUCGGCUCAACCGGGGAACUGCAAUGGAUACUAUUUGGCUUGAGGACGGUUGGGGUGAGUGGAACUCCUGGUGGAGCGGUGAAAUGCGUAGAUAUCAGGAGGAACACCAGUGGCGAAAGCGGCUCACUGGACCGUAUCUGACGCUGAGGUGCGAAAGCUAGGGUAGCGAACGGGAUUAGAUA
rnacentral:rRNA from 1 species